rnacentral:tRNA from 1 species
GAAGAUGUAAUUCAGUGGUAGAACGCUUGCCUAGCACGCAUGAGGCACUGGGUUCGAGCCUCAGCACCACA